rnacentral:rRNA from 1 species
CCUACGGGGGGCAGCAGUGGGGAAUAUUGGACAAUGGGGGGAACCCUGAUCCAGCCAUGCCGCGUGUGUGAAGAAGGCCCUCGGGUUGUAAAGCACUUUCAGUGAGGAAGAACGCCUGGUGGUUAAUACCCAUCAGGAAAGACAUCACUCACAGAAGAAGCACCGGCUAACUCCGUGCCAGCAGCCGCGGUAAUACGGAGGGUGCGAGCGUUAAUCGGAAUUACUGGGCGUAAAGCGCGCGUAGGUGGUUUGAUAAGCCGGUUGUGAAAGCCCCGGGCUCAACCUGGGAACGGCAUCCGGAACUGUCAAGCUAGAGUGCAGGAGAGGAAGGUAGAAUUCCCGGUGUAGCGGUGAAAUGCGUAGAGAUCGGGAGGAAUACCAGUGGCGAAGGCGGCCUUCUGGACUGACACUGACACUGAGGUGCGAAAGCGUGGGUAGCAAACAGGAUUAGAUACCCGAGUAGUC